rnacentral:tRNA from 1 species
GCCUGGGUGGCUCAGUCGGUUAAGCAUCUGACUUCAGCUCAGGUCACCAUCUCGCGGUCCGUGAGUUCGAGCCCCAUGUCAGGCU